rnacentral:lncRNA from 1 species
CAGCUAUUUCAAACCAUAAAGAUGAGGGCUGUCCCCUAGGGAUGGUAGAACUAAGAGCCAGAAAAGACUAAGUUCUCGAUAAUCAUUUGGAACUGCAAUAGUGGUCCUGGACUACCUAUCUCUAGACUUCUUUUACAUAGGGAGAAAUAUACUUCUCUGUGAAGCCACAACCUUUUAGGAUUUUCUGUCACUUGCAGGGAAGAGGGAUACAUGGGACCACGGGGGCUGCAACUUGCAACUGUGGAGAGAAGCAGUUACGUGGCAUGUUAUGGAUUGAACUGUGCCCCCAAAAUUCACAUGUUGAAAUCCUAACCCAAGCACCUCAGAAUGUGACCGUAUUCGGAGGCACAGCCUGUAAAGAAGGGGCCUAAGGUGAAAAGAUGUCAUUGGGGGGGCCCUACUCCUAUAGGACUGGUAUCCUUAUAGGAAGAGGAGGUGAGGACACAGACACACACAGAAAGAAGACCAUGUGAAAACACAGGGAGAAGGUGGCAUCUGUAUGCCAAGAACAGAGGCCUCAGAGGAAACCAACCCUGUGACACCUGGAUCUUGGACUUCCAGCCCCUGGAACUGUGAGAAAAUGAAGUUCUGGUGUUGAAGGCACCCAGGCUGUGGAACUUUGUUAUGGCAGCCCUAGCAGACUAAUAUAUGGCACAAGGAGAGGACCGUGGUGCCAAGAAAAAUGUGCCUGUCACUUCUCCAGCUGACGUGCCCUGGCUACCAUGCUCUGAAAUCUACCCUGGAACUCUGCGUGUGUGAGGCCAGGCUUCCCACAGGCUGCUCCCAGCCAGGGAAGAGUACAGCAGGGAUACUGAGGCAGGCCUGUUCCCUAGAGCCCGCAACUUUGGCUCUCCAUCAGCUUGGCUGAAACUGUACUGCAGCGUCAGACUCUUCCUACCCAACCUUCCUCCCUUCCCUCUCCUGCACGAGGCCACCAGGCUGCUGCCUGGUCUCCUGGCUCUCCCAACCUCCUCUAGUUCCCUCUUCACUUUCUCUUACAACUUUUUCCCUAAAGACAUCUCUUGCAGGUUCAAUCUACCCUCUGAGUCUGCUUCUUAGAAGACCUGGGCUAAUGGACUUAGUGAGUUAGUCCUCCCUACUUGCACCCAUUUCACAGAUGAGGAAGUUGGGGCCCAGUUUACAGAAUUUUAUCGGAGCCACCCCUCUCUGACUGCACACACCCACCAAGAUAAGAAGCACUUUUACAGGCGGGCUCUGUUUGCUCAAACUGUAUUUUAUAAUUAUUACUAUGAAAAAAGAAGAGUGUCUUUGAGAAUUUACCUUUAGAUAGCAAAUUCCUAUACCCCUUCUCCGAUUUACUCACCCCUUGGUACUUAUUUCUAACAUUCUAUAAUAUUUUACUUGUUUAUCUUUAUUGUCUGACACAUUGCUACUGAGGGAAUGAGUGAAUUACCUCAAAAUGUACCAUCAUCCUCACUGCUCACAAAGUUGGAUAGCAAAGGUCAGUGAAAAUUUCCCCCAGCUUGGCAUUUACGUUGCUUCAUUUAAGUGAUUGUUCACUUCUCUGUGAGCACUUCUACAUUGGAAGCUCCGUGAGAGCAGAUUAGAAUGAAUGAAUGAAUGAAUGACCUGGAAUCACCCUGGGUUGUGUCUGGAUCGUUUGGGUGGGACUCUGUGAGCCUUGUCCUCCUCAUUCUGCUCCUAUUGCUAAUUGUAGAGAGGUGGUAGCAGCUCUCCAGACUGAAAAGGAUCUGGAUGGUUUCAGUGAUGGAGGCAGCAGAUUAUCUGGGCUGAGCUCAAAGUCCCAUGCAAAUGAAGAGCCGUGCCUCCAGGGUGAUCGGAAGCCUCAGCACCAGCAUCCCCAGCAGCCUGUAAGAAAUGCAAGUUUUCCAUCCCACCUCGGACCCACACAGUCAUCCCUGGGAGAUCUAUGUGUGGGACAAGUGUCAGAGGCACCCUACACUAGAUUCUAGCUUCCUUCCACCUCCGGGUGGUUCUGCACACCAGCUCACACUUUGCUCUCAGGUCCUGCCCCACCUCAUUCCUGGGAACAGUCCGGCUGCAGGCUCCACCUACUCAGAAGUCCUCGGGCAGCAUUUAAGGACACGAAUCACCUGACUUCACUGCGGGGAAAUCCUCUCACGGCAUGACUUCCUGUCACAGUAGAAUAGAACCCACGCUCCGACCCAUGACCUACAGCUCUCAGCAUGCUCACUCUAAGAGCUCUGCCAGCUUACAGCCCUCACGUCCUCAUGGUGCCAGCAGCCUCCAAACCUGGUCCUGCGACACAGGAUCUCUGUUGGUUCCUCAUCCUGGGAUGCUUUUCCCAGACCCUCCAUGUCUAGCUCCUUCCUCCCAUUAUCUGACAGCUCUGUGGAAUGCAACCCCACCCACCCAUCAUCACUAUCUCCCAUUCUGCCUUAGUUUCUUCCUUCGUUCUUCCUUUUCUUUUUGACAAGGUCUUGCUCUGUUGCCCAGGCUGGAGUUCAAUAGUGCAAUCAUGGCUCACUGCAGCCUCAACCUCCUUGAUCCUUGAUCCUCCCAUCUCAGCCUCCCAGGUAGCUGGGACCACAGGUGUAAGCCACCAAACCUGGCUAAUUUUUGUUGUUGUUGUUUGCGUUUUUGAGAAAGGGUCUCACUCUGUUGCUCCCUGGGUUCAAGUGAUUCUCCCAUCUGAGCCUCCCGAGUAUCUGGGACUAUAGGCACGUGCCACUACGCCCGGCUAAUUUUUGUUUUUGUUUUUGCUUUUGUUUUUGUUUGAGACUGAGUCUCACUCUGUUGCCCAGGCUGGAGUGUAGUGGUGCAAUCUCCACUCACCGCAACCUCCACCUCCUGGGUUCAAGCGAUUCUCCUGCCUCAGUCUCCCAAGUAGCUGGGAUUACAGGCGCAUGCCACUAUGCCCGGCUAAUUUUUGUAUUUUUAGUAGAGAUGGGGUUUUGCCAUGUUGGCCAGGCUGGUCUUGAACUCCUGACCUCAGGUGAUCCACCCACCUCAGCCUCCCAAAGUGCUAGGAUUACAGGCAUGAGCCACUGCACCCAGCCAGACUUGCUAAUUUUUGUAUUUUUUUUGUAGAGACGGAGUUUCACUAUGUUGCCCAGGCUGGUCUUGAACUUCUGGGCCAAGUGAUCUGCCAAAGUGCUGGGAUUACAUGUGUGAACCACCAUGACUGGCCUGCCUUAGUUUUCUUAGUAGUAUUUAUCCCUGCCUAAAAUUCUCUUCGAUGACUAUUGUCUUACACAUGCAUUUGUUUACUGAUUUCUCUCCUUCCCUAGAACGUACAAGUUCCAUGGAAGCAGAGACUUAGUUGGCUUGUUCACCACUCUAUCUCCAAUGCCUAGAUGGUGGCUGGCACUCAUGAGGAGCUCAAUAAAUAUAUGUUGAAUGAAUGGAUG